AUUAGUAUUACUACUGGGCUCCAAGUUCCUCAUCUGAAAUCUGUCUCCUCUGGAAAUACUUAUUUACAAGACGACGUUUCUUGUCACAACGCAGGUUUAAACAGCAGCUUUUAAAUGUUUACUGUGGGAAGAAUAGUCAAGGGAGUGGUGCGUUGGGAAGACAGACCAGAGUUUGCUGCUGGCACUGUUACGCAGGGACUGUUUGGCAUGACCUUCACUCCUUUUCUGGUUCUUUGGUCUUUCUAAGGUGGCCUCAAUUUCUUUAUCAGUAAAUAAGAUUAUCUCUGAGAUGUCAUUCACUCAAAUAGCCAUUUUAUAAAAAUCUACUUGCAUCUUCAACUUCAUUCACUGUGGAUUCGUUGUUUUCCUUUAUCUAGUUUUUACAUUUUACCUUUCAAGCCGGUGCUAUUG
rnacentral:lncRNA from 1 species